UGCUGAUUUGUAAUAGAAGUUUACAAUGU
rnacentral:piRNA from 1 species